rnacentral:rRNA from 1 species
AUUGAACGCUGGCGGCAUGCCUUACACAUGCAAGUCGAACGGCAGCGGACCUUCGGGUGCCGGCGAGUGGCGAACGGGUGAGUAAAGUAUCGGAACGUACCUUUCAGUGGGGGAUAACGUAGCGAAAGUUACGCUAAUACCGCAUAUUCUCUGAGGAGGAAAGCAGGGGACCUUCGGGCCUUGCGCUGAUGGAGCGGCCGAUCUCAGAUUAGCUAGUUGGUGGGGUAAAGGCCUACCAAGGCGACGAUCUGUAGCGGGUCUGAGAGGAUGAUCCGCCACACUGGGACUGAGACACGGCCCAGACUCCUACGGGAGGCAGCAGUGGGGAAUUUUGGACAAUGGGCGAAAGCCUGAUCCAGCCAUGCCGCGUGAGUGAAGAAGGCCUUCGGGUUGUAAAGCUCUUUCGGCCGGGAAGAAAUCGUGUGGGCUAAUACCCUGCAUGGAUGACGGCACCGGAAUAAGAAGCACCGGCUAACUACGUGCCAGCAGCCGCCGUAAGAC